UACGUAGGGUGCAAGCGUUGUCCGGAAUUAUUGGGCGUAAAGAGCUCGUAGGCGGUUUGUCGCGUCUGCUGUGAAAGUUCGGGGCUCAACCCCGGAACUGCAGUGGGUACGGGCAGACUAGAGUGCGGUAGAGGGGACUGGCAUUCCUGGUGUAGCGGUGGAAUGCGGAGAUAUCAGGGGGAACACCAGUGGCGAAGGCGGGUCUCUGGGCCGCAACUGACGCUGAGGAGCGAAAGCGUGGGGCGCGAACAGG
rnacentral:rRNA from 1 species